rnacentral:ribozyme from 13 species
AGCUCACCAACUUGCAAUCCUCUCCUCACAGAAUUCAAACAAGCAGUAACAUAAGAGUGUAACUCGGCAUCAGUCACCUCUUCGUCUUUUACGUCUUCUUCUUUUAUGUCUUCUCCUCUGGCGAUUUCUUUGCUCCUUUUGCGAAUGUAUUGUUGAAGACGAGGUUGGACUUUUUGGACAGCGUUCCAAUUUCCCUGAAUAAUAGCAAAUAUUUCAGGAAUUU